rnacentral:rRNA from 1 species
GACGAACGCUGGCGGCGUGCUUAACACAUGCAAGUCGAACGGAAAGGCCCUGCUUUUGUGGGGUGCUCGAGUGGCGAACGGGUGAGUAACACGUGAGUAACCUGCCCUUGACUUUGGGAUAACUUCAGGAAACUGGGGCUAAUACCGGAUAGGAGCUCCUGCUGCAUGGUGGGGGUUGGAAAGUUUCGGCGGUUGGGGAUGGACUCGCGGCUUAUCAGCUUGUUGGUGGGGUGGUGGCUAACCAUGGCGUCGGCGGGUAGCCGGCCUGAGAGGGUGACCGGCCACACUGGUACGGGGGCGCGGCCGAGACUCCUACGGGAGGCAGGAGUGGGGGAUUUUGGACAAUGGGGGGAACGCUGAUCCAGCGAUGCCGCGUGGGUGAAGAAGGACUUCGGGUGGUAAAGCAGGGUUGGCCGGAAAGAAAUCGCGCUGGUUAAUACCUGGCGGGGAUGACGGUACCGGAAGAAUAAGCACCGGCUAACUACGUG